UUUUUUUUUUUUUUUUUUUUUUUUUUUUUUUUUUUUUUUUCCUUGUUCA
rnacentral:ribozyme from 1 species